rnacentral:rRNA from 1 species
CUCUUGAGGAGGUAUUGUGAUGCAUCUGGUCAGCAAAUUAAUGUUGAUAAAUCUUCAAUUUAUUUCAGCAAGGGGGUGAUCGAAGCCCUCGGAGCCUCUGUUAAAAACAUUCUUCAAGUGCAAAAUGAAUCUCUAUCAGAGAAGUACUUGGGUCUUCCUUCGGACGUGGGCAACACCAAAGAAGGUAGCUUCAAAUACCUUAAGGACAGAAUAUGGAAACGGGUACAAGGUUGGAUGGACAAGUGCCUUUCAGUAGGUGGUAAGGAGGUUCUCAUCAAGUCAGUUGUGCAAUCGAUACCUACCUAUUCAAUGUCUUGCAUUAAGCUACCCUGA